AGUGAACGCUGGCGGUAGGCCUAACACAUGCAAGUCGAACGGCAGCACAGUAAGAGCUUGCUCUUACGGGUGGCGAGUGGCGGACGGGUGAGGAAUACAUCGGAAUCUACUUUUUCGUGGGGGAUAACGUAGGGAAACUUACGCUAAUACCGCAUACGACCUACGGGUGAAAGCAGGGGAUCUUCGGACCUUGCGCGAUUGAAUGAGCCGAUGGCGGAUUAGCUAGUUGGCGGGGUAAAGGCCCACCAAGGCGACGAUCCGUAGCUGGUAUGAGAGGAUGAUCAGCCACACUGGGACUGAGACACGGUCCAGAGUCCUACGGGAGGCAGCAGUGGGGAAUAUUGGACAAUGGGCGCAAGCCUGAUCCAGCCAUACCGCGUGUGUGAAGAAGGCCUUCGGGUUGUAAAGUCCUGUUGUUGGGAAAGAAAAGCAGCAGGUUAAUACCCCGCUGUUCUGACGGUACCCAAAGAAUAAGCACCGGCUAACUUCGUG
rnacentral:rRNA from 1 species